CCUACGGGUGGCAGCAGUGAGGAAUAUUGGUCAAUGGGCGGAAGCCUGAACCAGCCAAGUCGCGUGAGGGAUUAAGGCCCUAUGGGUCGUAAACCUCUUUUGUCAGGGAGCAAUGGCGUCCACGUGUGGGCGUAUGGAGAGUAACUGAAGACAAAGCAUCGGCUAACUCCGUGCCAGCAGCCGCGGUAAUAGGGAGGAUGCGAGCUUUAUCCGGAUUUAUUGGGUUUAAGGGGGGCGAAGGCGGGACCUUAGUUCAGCGGUAAAAUUGCGGGGCUAAACGCCGUAGUGCCGUUGAAACUGGGGUUCUUGAGUGAGCUAGAAGUAUGCGGAAUGCGUGGUGUAGCGGUGAAAUGCAUAGAUAUCACGCAGAACCCCGAUUGCGAAGGCAGCAUACCGGCGCUCAACUGACGCUGAGGCACGAAAGUGCGGGUAUCGAACAGGAUUAGAUACCCUUGUAGUC
rnacentral:rRNA from 1 species